AGCUCUUCUUUGUAGGGAGUUUGGGGGUUUGGUCAGAGGCAAGCAGGGAGAUUGGAGAUUGCUGAACUGGUUUUGCUGAGGUUUUACCUUCCAGAUCUGCUUUGUCCCUUCAGGAACAUGCUUGACUUUUGGCGGACAGCUGUGGGACUAGUAUAUAAAACAUGCUGUUUGCACUGCCCAUACAGUCCAACAUCUGCUGAAACAAGAGGCUGGAAUGUAAGGAGAAGAAAAGGGAGACAACUGGAGCUUUCUCCCCCACACAGAGGUAUCAGCACUGCACACUCACUCUGUUCCCUUCUGCAGCACUGACUGUAUCUCCAAAGCUCUCCAGCAAAUCCACUCAUCCAAUGCCAUCUGCAUUUACCAUUUCACAAAAACAUAAUUCAAGGUCUGAUUAAAACCAGAACAUGCUGCUUGUCAAGAUCCAGUCUAGGAUAUCAAAGGACCAGGCUGGUAGAGCCAGAAUGCUGUCUGGAGAUGGGUACAGGUUUUUGGGGAUGGAGCUGCAACCAGUUUCAACUUCUGCCAGCACUCACAGAUGCUCUCCCCACUAACAGGCAGUCCUUGCUUGUGCUGCCAACCACCUGGCUAGACAACACCUCAGCUGCUCCACUGACACCCCUUCAUGUAGCACCACACACCCCCAUCCUGCCUGCCAGCCUUCUUGGGAUAUGCUCAACAGCUUGAGUGUUGAGAACAUACUUACCAUAAGUUUUAAGAAGAGAGUUCUUUAAAAAUAGAAAGCAGGUGUCAUUACUUCCCCCCACCCCCCCAAGUCCCUCUCCUAAAUAAGCAUGUUGAGUAAAGAAUGGUACUUGAGUAAAGAUGCUCUCUUCUCCCCUUGCUUUCAACUCUAACAGACAUAUUUAGAAUCCAGUCUGGUAAAAAAAAAAAAAAACAAAAGUAGCAAAGGUUUCUUUCCCACCUCACAAAAGAGCAGUCUUCUGAUGGCAACCCACAAGGUCACACAUUUGUUGCUUAUCAUCAUAUUUAAUGGACCUAAGGACAUUUGAAGGACCUCUUUUUAUGAAAUGCAGAACAGACAUAGUGAGUUUUCUGUAUCAAUCACUGAGGAUUUGAGACACACCUACAGUAAGUCAACAAACAACAGCUUUUGUUGAGUUACUCCAUGGAAGAGUAAUUUAUUAAUCUUCUGUAUUGUGGGGAAAAACCUGCUUUCAUUGGACUACAGAAGGCAUGCAACAUUCUUCUAGUAUUAAGUUAUAAAACAUGCAUAUCUUGGCUUGGAGUUUGUUGAAUCUUACCACAGGACUCAUGCUUGGCAGUGUUUUGAGGUUGAUGUCUGUUCUCCUUUUUUUAGGUGGACACAUUAGUAAAAAAGGGCCUAAUAUCAGGGAGACAGACUAUGGUAAUGUCUAGGAGCUGGUGGGUCUCCGUGUGAAUAACUGGGUCUUUUCUAGUGCAAUUCAUGGCCCUCUCCUUCUACCAGGGCCUGACAGAAGAUUUGAGAGGCCAUGUUUAUGCACCAUCACGUACGUGUGCUAUGUCUGUGAUUUCUGAACACAGCUACCUUUACCCUAUCCCAGGAAAGACCGGUGUGAUGAAAAACACGGAACACAGUGCACAGCAGGAAUGCAGGAGUCUUGUUUGGGGUAUGGGUGAUGCUGAAGUGUGAGUGAGGACCAUACAAGUGUGCACACUGGUGCUUAGCCUGGCUCUGUGGCUGAGGUGCAGAGCUGCUCAGGUUGCUGUGACAUCCCCGCAGAGCUCUCCUGCUGCAGCACUCCGCAUCCUACCUUGAGACAGGCUCCAGAGAGUCACACCAUGCUCUGCAGAGCUGGACAGCUAAGCAGAGCACAGCAAAGGUGUCCAGUGACAGAGCACUGGGUGUAGGAGCUCCUGGCUGGGUUCUGACCUGAGCUGCUGGGCUGUCUCUGUGUCAUGCUCCCAAGUUUCUGCUGUCUGGUAAUGUUUUAGCCCAGGACUCCUGCCUAGAGCCUCUCCAAUGCUGGGCAGUGGGGCAGUUGAAGGGAAUGAUCCCACCCGUAAUUUAAAUACGCAAACCCACAGGAAUUCCAUCAUAAGGGUGUUGUCUGCUACAACUUCUUCUAGAAGUACUGAACUGUCUGUUAUGAUCAUACUAACUUUUCUUCUUGAUACCAGACUCAAGCUCUUUGGGAUUUUAUGAAUUUUUUAAUAUAUAGCUUAACAUACAUAUAUACUAAAUGGUGUUGUCAUGACCCAUUUUCUGUAAUGCGUCUAGUUGUGUGCUGGAUAUAAGAGUUUUAGGAACCUUGUUCACAAGUUAACGACAAAUCCAAGAGACCACAUAGUGCAGCACACUAAGCAAGAUUUCAUCUGUGACCUGUGUCAUGUGGUGUCCCCAAGCUCCUGAGGCUACAUGGGAAGACUGAAAUGCCAGACAUUAUAUUUUCAGAUAGGUCAAGAUGGACACUUGCAAACAUCUUUCUUGACUCCUGUUCUACAUUGUAAAUGCUACAAGAGUUCCCUAAGGAAUCCCACAAAAUAGAACAUUAGCUAGUGGCCACUCCUCCCUUCCCCUUACAUUAAUAAGUGUGAAAGAAGAGGUGCAGAGACAGACUCCAAAAACACAUUAGGAUCUCCUGAGAGAAGGUCCUGCAUGAACCUUCUCUGAUAUAUUGUUUAUUAAAUGUGGUCUGGAGAAAUAUGCAGAGUAUGUUUCUUUUCUAUCAAAUCAUGCUGCAUACCACAGAGGUUGCAGAGUUUUGUACAUGGCACAGGAGUAAAGCCAGAUUCAGGAGGCAUUCAGCAAAACCAACACAAAACUUGAUUGUUGGAUUUAUUUUCCCUCAUUGAAAAAACAGGUAAGGGUUCAGGAUAUCUAGUCUAGCAUCAUGCUAACUUUAAGCAACUAAUGCAGGAAAAUCUAUGAGGGGAAAUGACAAAUAGAGUUUCUGUGAGCACUACCUCUUGGGCUUUUUAUGUUUAGAUCUCUGUUUAA